GACGAACGCUGGCGGCGUGCCUAAUACAUGCAAGUCGACCUUAGUUGCGAACGGGUGAGUAACCCGCGGGUAACCUGCCCAUCACAACGGGAUAACAUUUGUAAACAGGCGUUACUACCGUAUACUGAUGGAUGGACCCUCGGUUCAUUAGCUAGUUGGUGGGGUAACGGCUACCCGAGGCCACGAUCCAUAGCUGGCCUGAGAGGUGGAUCGGCCACAUUGGGACUGAGACACGGUCCAAACUCCUACGGGAGGCAGCAGUAGGGAAUCUUCGGCAAUGGACGAAAGUCUGACGGAGCAAUGCCGCGUGAGUGAAGAAGGUUUUCGGAUCGUAAAGCUCUGUUGUUAGGGAAGCGUUAUCUAACGAGAAAGCCACGGCUAACUACGUGCCAGCAGCCGCGGUAAUAC
rnacentral:rRNA from 1 species